AGCGACUGUACCCUCCUCUGUAUAGGCUAGCCUGCAACAUCAAAGAUGAAAAAGUACCAAUCAGUAUUCAGCGCUUGCUUGCAAAUGAGGGUCUGCUCGGAGCAGAUAAGGCACACCCAGCCAAGGACUGAGGGCACCGAAUCAACCGGGAGUAAAA